rnacentral:rRNA from 1 species
CAUGCAAGUCGAACGCGAAAGGGGGGCAACCCCCGAGUAGAGUGGCGGACGGGUGAGUAAUGCAUCGGAACGUAUCCUAUAGUGGGGGACAACCUCGAGAAAUCGAGGCUAAUACCGCAUACGACCCACGGGUGAAAGCGGGGGACCGCAAGGCCUCGCGCUACUGGAGCGGCCGAUGUCCGAUUAGCUAGUUGGUAGGGUAAAAGCCUACCAAGGCGACGAUCGGUAGCUGGUCUGAGAGGACGACCAGCCACACUGGGACUGAGACACGGCCCAGACUCCUACGGGAGGCAGCAGUGGGGAAUUUUGGACAAUGGGGGCAACCCUGAUCCAGCCAUGCCGCGUGCGGGAAGAAGGCCUUCGGGUUGUAAACCGCUUUCGGCCGGAACGAAAUCGCCGGGGACAACACCCCCGGUGGAUGACGG